ACAGGGUUUUUUGACCAAAUAAUUUCGACCUCACUUUUUGGUCGAAAAAAAAUCGACGACAUGAGGUCGAAAUUUUCAGAAUUUAAUUUAAUUUAAUUUUUUUUUGGAUUUCGACCUCACGUGGUCGAUAUUUAAACGGGAAAUAAAAUUUCGACCGCAUAAGGUUGAAACUUAUUUUUGUACAAAUAAUAAAUGAAAAAAACAUUUAAAAAAAUUUAAUUAUAUAAAUAAAACAAUUAAUUUAAAAAAAAAAGCAUAUUUCGACCGCACGCCGUCGAAAUAAUAAUUUGAAAAAUUUAAUGUACUCCCCCAACAUCAAUCGUGCAUUUCUCACCCCAAAAAUACCAAAACCUAAUUUUAUACCAAAACUCCCACCCCCACCACACCCCUACCCCCGCCAACGCCCCAUCCCCACCACACCCCUCCCCGCCGCUGACGCCCCAUCCCCACCACUGCCUGUCCUCCGUCGCCGCCCUUGCUGUCCGCCGCCACUAAAGCUUAGUUAUUUCAAAAUGUUCCAACCACUGGCAGCUUAUGAUUAUUGACUGGUUU